UACGUAGGGGGCAAGCGUUGUCCGGAAUUAUUGGGCGUAAAGAGCGCGUAGGCGGUCCGGUAAGUCGGCUGUGAAAGUCAAGGGCUCAACCCUUGAAAGCCGGCCGAUACUGUCGGACUAGAGUCCGGAAGAGGCGAGUGGAAUUCCCGGUGUAGCGGUGAAAUGCGCAGAUAUCGGGAAGAACACCCGUGGCGAAGGCGGCUCUCUGGGACGGUACUGGACGCUGAGACGCGAAAGCGUGGGGAGCGAACAGG
rnacentral:rRNA from 1 species